AAAGCACAUAAAAGCCGUGGUGUAACUGGUUGGCGCUAUACUGAACUCUUCAACCACAGUGAGUCACCUCGCUCAGAAAAAAACCUGAACUCUACAAGCCGUGAUUCUUUAACAACAUGGUUGUCAAACUUAACAUCUGCCUGUUGCUGCUUCUGGUGGCGACCAUAAGUUCGCAUGGGUCCAAGCUCAGAGUGAAAGACGACUCUAAAGAUGAGAAACCUUUUGAUAUCAAUCGCCGACAAACUCUUCUUGAAUGUCAAUACGUGAGAGGUUAUUGUAUUUCACCUAAGGCUAUAUGUGACCAAGGAUAUCUAAGGUGUUCGUUAGUUGGGUGCGGUCCCGUCAAGGAAUGCUGCUGGUAAGUGAACCAUUCCAGGCGUAAUAACAUU